rnacentral:rRNA from 1 species
AACGGCCAUACCAUGCUGAAUAUACCGGUUCUCGUUAGAUCACCGAAGUCAAGCAUCAUUGGGCGCGGUCAGUACUUGGGUGGGUGACCACCUGGGAACUCCGCGUGCCGUU